rnacentral:rRNA from 1 species
UGGGGAAUAUUGGACAAUGGGGGCAACCCUGAUCCAGCCAUGCCGCGUGAGUGAUGAAGGCCUUAGGGUCGUAAAGCUCUUUCGCCUGUGAAGAUAAUGACGGUAGCAGGUAAAGAAACCCCGGCUAACUCCGUGCCAGCAGCCGCGGUAAUACGGAGGGGGUUAGCGUUGUUCGGAAUUACUGGGCGUAAAGCGCACGUAGGCGGACCAGAAAGUUGGGGGUGAAAUCCCGGGGGCUCAACCCCGGAACUGCCUCCAAAACUAUUGGUCUAGAGUUCGAGAGAGGUGAGUGGAAUUCCAAGUGUAGAGGUGAAAUUCGUAGAUAUUUGGAGGAACACCAGUGGCGAAGGCGGCUCACUGGCUCGAUACUGACGCUGAGGUGCGAAAGUGUGGGGAGCAAACAGGAUUAGAUACCCUGGGUAGUCCACACCGUAAAACGAUGAAUGCCAGUCGUCGGGUAGCAUGCUAUUCGGUGACA